rnacentral:rRNA from 1 species
ACGGGAGGCAGCAGUGAGGAAUAUUGGUCAAUGGACGCAAGUCUGAACCAGCCAUGCCGCGUGCAGGAUGACGGCUCUAUGAGUUGUAAACUGCUUUUGUACUUGGGUAAAAUCGAAUAUGUAUAUUUGACUGAAAGUAAAGUACGAAUAAGGAUCGGCUAACUCCGUGCCAGCAGCCGCGGUAAUACGGAGGAUCCAAGCGUUAUCCGGAUUUAUUGGGUUUAAAGGGUGCGUAGGCGGUUCGGUAAGUUAGAGGUGAAAUUUCAAGGCUUAACCUUGGCAUUGCCUCUAAUACUGUCGGACUAGAGAGUAGAUGCGGUAGGCGGAAUGUAUGGUGUAGCGGUGAAAUGCUUAGAGAUCAUACAGAACACCGAUUGCGAAGGCAGCUUACCAAACUAUAUCUGACGUUGAGGCACGAAAGCGUGGGGAGCGAACAGGAUUAGAUACCCUGGUA